UACGUAGGGUGCGAGCGUUGUCCGGAAUUAUUGGGCGUAAAGAGCUUGUAGGCGGUUUGUCGCGUCUGCCGUGAAAAUUCGAGGCUCAACCUCGAACUUGCGGUGGGUACGGGCAGACUAGAGUGUGGUAAGGGAGACUGGAAUUCCUGGUGUAGCGGUGAAAUGCGCAGAUAUCAGGAGGAACACCGAUGGCGAAGGCAGGUCUCUGGGCCACUACUGACGCUGAGAAGCGAAAGCAUGGGGAGCGAACAGG
rnacentral:rRNA from 1 species